rnacentral:lncRNA from 1 species
ACACUUAUCUAUCUUAUUAAAAUACAAGUAUCAUCUAUCUUAUUAAAGUAGAAGUACCAUUUAAAUAUGUUUGAAAACAUUGAUAGCAAUGUAUUAAUUUAAUAUUUUAUAGUUAACUUUCUAAUUCUACGUAGACUAUACAAAUGGGUCUAUAUAAAAAACAAACAUACAGGAAUAGACCUUUAAUUUUGUAAUAUCUUUAGACAUAUUUUUGUGUCGGUCCAAUGCUAAUCAAACAAGAAAUAUGACAUACGUAUAAAAUGUAAACGUGAGAUUAGAGAUCAAACCAAGUCAUACACACCCAAAACCAUAACUGAUCAUAAGAAUACCAUUUCAUACAAACCCAAAACCAUAUAAAUUCACUAGAGUUAUGUAUAAACCACAUAUAGAUGUUAAAAAAAAAAAAACAGAUAUACGAUACUAGAAACAGAAUUACCCAACAUACAAACCUUAUUUUUUAUGGACUAUCAAACCGGUCAUUGUUAUAUUGAUUAUUCAACUGAUCAAAUAAUUUGAAAUGCCAUCGAUUUUACCACUCAUCUUAAAAUUCUUACUACAAUGUUU